CCACUGGUCUCAGGUCAGGGUUCAUGUCAGGGUCAGGACCACUGGUCUCAGGUCAGGGUUCAGGUCUGGGUCAGGACCACUGGUCUCAGGUCAGGGUUCAGGUCUGGGUCAGGACCACUGGUCUCAGGUCAGGGUUCAGGUCUGGGUCAGGACCACUGGUCUCAGGUCAGGGUUCAGGUCUGGGUCAGGACCACUGGUCUCAGGUCAGGGUUCAGGUCUGGGUCAGGACCACUGGUCUCAGGUCAGGGUUCAGGUCUGGGUCAGGACCACUGGUAUCAGGUCAGGGUUCAGGUCUGGGUCAGGACCACUGGUCUCAGGUCAGGGUUCAGGUCUGGGUCAGGACCACUGGUCUCAGGUCAGGGUUCAGGUCUGGGUCAGGACCACUGGUCUCAGGUCAGGGUUCAGGUCUGGGUCAGGACCACUGGUCUCAGGUCUGGGUCAGGACCACUGGUCUCAGGUCAGGGUUCAGGUCAGGGUCAGGACCACUGGUCUCAGGUCAGGGUUCAGGUCUGGGUCAGGACCACUGGUCUCAGGUCAGGGUUCAGGUCAGGGUCAGGACCACUGGUCUCAGGUCAGGGUCAGGACCACUGGUCUCAGGUCAGGGUUCAGGUCUGGGUCAGGACCACUGGUCUCAGGUCAGGGUUCAGGUCUGGGUCAGGACCACUGGUCUCAGGUCAGGGUCAGGACCACUGGUCUCAGGUCAGGGUUCAGGUCUGGGUCAGGACCACUGGUCUCAGGUCAGGGUUCAGGUCUGGGUCAGGACCACUGGUCCUCAGGUC